AUUGAACGCUGGCGGCAGGCCUAACACAUGCAAGUCGAGCGGCAGCGACUUAACUGAACCUUCGGGGAAUGUUAAGGGCGGCGAGCGGCGGACGGGUGAGUAAUGCCUGGGAAUAUGCCCUGAUGUGGGGGAUAACUAUUGGAAACGAUAGCUAAUACCGCAUAAUCUCUUCGGAGCAAAGAGGGGGACCUUCGGGCCUCUCGCGUCAGGAUUAGCCCAGGUGGGAUUAGCUUGUUGGUGAGGUAAUGGCUCACCAAGGCAACGAUCCCUAGCUGGUCUGAGAGGAUGAUCAGCCACACUGGAACUGAGACACGGUCCAGACUCCUACGGGAGGCAGCAGUGGGGAAUAUUGCACAAUGGGGGAAACCCUGAUGCAGCCAUGCCGCGUGUGUGAAGAAGGCCUUCGGGUUGUAAAGCACUUUCAGUAGGGAGGAAGGUAGUGUAGUUAACACCUGCACUAUUUGACGUUACCUACAGAAGAAGCACCGGCUAACUCCGUGCCAGCAGCCGCGGUAAUACGGAGGGUGCGAGCGUUAAUCGGAAUUACUGGGCGUAAAGCGCAUGCAGGCGGCCUGUUAAGUCAGAUGUGAAAGCCCGGGGCUUAACCUCGGAAUUGCAUUUGAAACUGGCAGGCUAGAGUCUUGUAGAGGGGGGUAGAAUUUCAGGUGUAGCGGUGAAAUGCGUAGAGAUCUGAAGGAAUACCAGUGGCGAAGGCGGCCCCCUGGACAAAGACUGACGCUCAGAUGCGAAAGCGUGGGGAGCAAACAGG
rnacentral:rRNA from 1 species